UUAUCGAGCCAGGGGUGCUUUUGCUGAGAAAGGUAGAAACCUUAUCCCUUAUCAUCUGAACUGGGUAAUGCCAGCGUAGAGAGUGCAAAUAGUGAUUUUU
rnacentral:ncRNA from 2 species